rnacentral:rRNA from 1 species
UACGUAGGGUGCGAGCGUUAAUCGGAAUUACUGGGCGUAAAGCGUGCGUAGGCGGUUCGUUAAGUGCGUCGUGAAAGCCCCGGGCUCAACCUGGGAAUGGCGAUGGAAACUGGCGGGCUGGAGUAUGGCAGAGGGGGGUGGAAUUCCGCGUGUAGCAGUGAAAUGCGUAGAGAUGCGGAGGAACACCGAUGGCGAAGGCAGCCCCCUGGGCCAAUACUGACGCUCGAGGCACGAAAGCGUGGGGAGCAAACAGG